GGAUGAGCUAUUUCUCUAGUGUCCUUUUAGCCUUGCUUCUAUUCAAAUCUGGGCAAGUCUCUGAGACGACCCCUGCAGCUGGGUGAUUUCCAAUCUUGAUGGAGAAAACCGGCUGGGUCAAGUGUAUUGACUCCAGCCACAUGAGCUAGAGACUGUUUUCAGAGUCAUCCUGGUCAGUUCUUGACAACCUGGUAGCCACCAGACCACAGAAGGGCAGGUGAACCUGUCUCGAUCCACUUAGAGGUUCUGCAAGGUUCUUGGAGCCUGGCUGGAGGAGCCUCCUCAGCAGCACUGCUGUGUCAAUGUCUAAUAUUAAGGAUAUAGCUUAAACACAGUCUUCUCUCCAACUCCAUCUUGGAGAGGAUCCCUGGAGGUACAGAGAGAAGUAAAGAAGACAUACAGAAAUCUAUCCUAAAAUUCAUUGGAAUCUCAAGGGACCCCCAAAAAUCAAAACAAUCUUGAAAAAGAACAAAGUUGGAGGCCUCACACUUUCUGAUUUCAAAACCCACUGCAAAGUUAAAGUAAUUUUUUAAAAGUGUGGUACUAUCAUAAAGACAGACAUAUAGACCAGUGGACUAGACUAGAUAGCUCAGAAAUAAACCUUUGCACAUAUGGUCAAACAAUUUUUGGUAAGAGUUCCACAACUAUUCAAUAGGGGAAAGAAUGGUCUUUUCAAUAAAUGGUGGUGGAAAAACUGGAUAUUCUCAUGGAAAAGAAAACUAAAGUUGGAUUCUUUUUUUUUUUUUUUUUGAGACAGAAUCUUACUCUGUUGCCCAGGCUGGAGUGUAGUGGCGCAAUGUCAGCUCACUGCAACCUCCGCCUCCCGGGUUCAAGCAAUUCUCUUGCCUCAGCCUCCUGAAUAGUGGGAUUAUAGGCAUGCACCACCACGCUCGGCUAAUUUUUGUAUUUUUAGUAGAGACAGGGUUUCACCACAUUGGCCGGGUUGGUCUCGAACCCCUGACCUCGUGAUCUACCCGCCUCAGUCUCCCAAAGUGCUGGGAUUACAGGCGUAAGCCACCACACCCGGCCUGGAUUCUUACCUUAUAUCAUAUGCAAAGAUUAACUCAAAAUGGAUCUAAGAUCUAUACAUAAAAGCUAAAACUAUAAAACUCCUAAAGGAAAACAUAGGGCAAAACCUCAUGACUUUGGAUUUGUCAAUAAUUUCUUGGAUAUGACACCAAAAGCACAGGGAACCAAAGAAAAAAUAGUUGGAUUCACGGAAAUUAAAAACUUCUGUGCAUCAAAGAACACUAUCAGUAGAGUAAAAAGGCAACCUACAGAACCGGAUGGAAUAUUUAUAAAUCGCAUAUCUGAUAAGUGACCGAUAUCCAGAAUAUAUAAAGAACUCUUCCAACUCAACAAAAACAACCGGAUUUUAAAAUGGGCAAAAAACUUGAAUAUUCUCAAAAGAAGAUAUGCAAAUGGCCAAUAAAAAUAUGGAAAGACAUUAAACAUCACUAAUCAUUAGAGAAAGCAAAUCAAAACCACAACAAAUACCAUUUCAUGCCCAUUGGAAUGCCUACUAUUUAAAAAAUAAGCAUCCCUGACCCUUGUUAUCCUGCAUUGUGGUUAGUAGAUGCACCUGACUUAGCUUACUUCCAAGAAUGCCUGAAGUCUUAUUAGGUCUCCUGAAAUGGUGGUUAGAAAAAUCAAUAAACAAACAAAAACUAUUAUCCACACCAGAUCUCUCCACAGCGCUCAAAAUUAAAAUCAGGUGCUCCUGACUUGUCCCCCUCUUGACUAACCAUGUCAGUUCUCUCUAAAACUAACUGAACUCAAUGACUAGAAAUCUUGGUGAUGCUUUCAAUGUUUUCUUCUUCUAUGCAUGGUGGAGAUUUUGCUCUCUACUGGGUCACUUAAAAUGUCAUGUAUGAAUACUCCAGUAUCUUGUGACAGUUUGAUCAAAAAUAAAUAUGCAGAAUGUAAAAGCACAUUAUCCUAACAGACAGAACCCUCCUCUGUCCUGCAUGAACCACACAUUUCCCAGUUUUUCUCAGUGACUUUUUCACCCCAGAGGAAGCAGAAGAGGCCCUCGACAGCUGGAGCAAUUACAGUUGUGUUUCUUUGUAAUAUGUGACAAGGUAAUCCUUUUUCUUCAGUGGCUUAUUUUGGAUAAAACCAAGUGAAACCAUGGGUGAUGAGGUAAUUCAUUUGUCUGCUG
rnacentral:lncRNA from 1 species